rnacentral:lncRNA from 1 species
UUUGUAGAAACAUAUACUUCUACCGAAAAAAAGAGAAACGAAAUGAAAAGUGGAGAUGAGAUAAAAGAACUUGCCUAAGUCAAAGACUCAUGCCAUAAUGAGAUACUCAAAGAAAGAAAAAUUGAGUGAAAAAAAAAGAGUCAAGUUGGACAACACCCCAUGAAAUAAAUUGUGCACAAAGAAAAGCAACAACAUGAAUGUCGAGUUUUUAAACCCUUGUCACCC